GCUUGGCGCGUCUCCGUUUCUCUUCUGAGGGGCUGAGAGUCGCGGAGUUUCCUGGUUGGAGGCUGUGGCGGACGCGAUUUGCUUCCUCAUAUAGGGUUCCGGAGGCGGCGGAAAGUCCAGCGGGUCUCCGAAGCCGGUAGACGGAGCCAUGAAGAAGACCUCGGGCUUCAGGAGGGGGAAGGGCGAGCUGCCCUGGGGCUCGGUCAGCAGCCCCGGGAAGGUGGGCGCGGGCGCCGGGAGUGAGAGUGAGGACCACGCCUCCUCCCAGCCCAGGCGCCACGACCCGGACAAGGGGUUCGACAGGCUCCGCAGAGCUGCCGGCCGACACCGGACAGAGACGAUGCGGCGGAUCCUUUCUCUGCCGAAGAGUGGCGUGGAUGACAGAGACGAGAAGAACAGGCUGUCCUGUGGACAGAGUUCUGGUGACUCAUGGCUUUCAGUAGAUGACGAACCCUUUGAUUCUGAUACCAAGAUUCUCUUGAGCAAUAUCAUCACUUGAAGCCUAAGGUUGAAAUCAAAGAGUGUGUUUCGAACCAGGCGGUCGGAAUGAAAGAUGUACAAGCAUGCACAUCAGCUUUUUCAGCUUUGGAUUUUAAUAGUUUGACCUUUAGUAAUGAGCUUCAUGAAAGAUCUGAGAAUUUGAAAGUUGGUGAUCUAUGUCCAUUUGUAUCUCCACCAAUGACCAACACUGUGUUGGGAUCCACAGACUUGGGGCAGAAGAACUUAAUAGAUCAAGAAAAGAUGACCACUGUAGGUGCGCUUCUAUUUUGGAAUCACACUCUCCGUGACCUGUGUGAGUCACAGCUACCAGAAAACAAAGAUAGCAAAGAAGAACAAGAUUUAGAAGUGACGUCAGAGCAAGAGCCAGAAAGGCUUGAAGGAAGUGAAAAUAACAAGCCACAGGCGGAGGGAGAAAGGAAGACACAUGCAAGGAAUGAAACAGAAGCAUCAAGAAACCUACAUGAUGUCUCCACAGAUGACCGUAUUGAUAAUGGGUUAAUUCAACAAGGAGAGAAUGGAAAAACUGAUGGUCAGCAAAUUCCUAGGACAGAGCAGGAAGAGUGUGAUAGUGUCCCUGCCUUGCAUAUGAAGAAAGUAAAGAAAAAUGAACAUGAAGAAUGGACCACAACAGAAUCUGUGACUUCACUAGUAUUUAAGAAGGCUGAUUUAAUAACUCUUGAUCUGCUGCAAGUGACUGAUGAGAGCAGUUUAACUGAAAUAGAUGAGGAAGAAAGAAGGCUUACAAAGAAAACAUCUAACGAGAAGGACAAGGUCAGAAACCAAAUCCAUUCUGUGGAUGGCUUUGAUGACUUAACUUGGUCAUCUGAAAUAGCCUCAGAGUGUUGUGAGCUACCUUACUCUAAUUACAAAAAGUUUAUAUUGCUCAUUGAAGAACUUGGCGUGGAUUGUAAAGAUCCUGUUAACCUACUGAAAAUUCAGGAUGCAGUUCAUUCAUGGGAAAGAUCAAUAGAAGUUGAAAAAAAUCACUGUGAACUACUUACAGUAAAAAUGAAAAAAAUGGAAAAUGAGGUCCAUGUACUACAAAAGGAGUUAUCUGAAACAACAGAAAUAAAAUUACAGUUAGAACAUCAAAGUGAUGAAUGGGAACGAGAUUUCUACAGUUUGAGAUCUACCUUAAGACAAGAAGAAGAGAAGAGAAAAAAUGCCAGUGCAUUGUAUGAAAAAAUCAGGGGACACUUAAGAAGAAAAGAAGAGCAGUACAGGAAAGAAGUUGAAGCAAACAAACAACUUCAGCUGACGCUGAGAACACGAGAUACGGAAUUGAGGACAGUAAGAAAUCAUUUGAACCAGGUUGUACAAGAGCUAAAUGACACCCAGAGGCAACUUUCUCGGGAACAGAACGCCAGAAUAUUACAAGAUGAAAUUCUGACCAAUCACCUUUGCAAACAAAAGGAGAUAGCACUGGCUCGAAGGAAAAGGAAUUCUCAGAUUCCUCACAGCCAUGACAAAGUACAAGAUCUGUUGCAUGAAAAUCGCAUGUUGCAGGACGAAAUUGCCACCCUCAGACUGGAAAUAGACACAAUAGAAAAACAGAACGAGGAAAAUAAAAAGAACUAUUUUGAGGACAUUGGUGACCUGCAAAAGACAAUAAAACGGAAUGGGGAAAUAUUAACAACAAUGAUAUCCGAGUAUACUGCACAGCUUGGUGUCCUGACAGCUGAGAAUACCAUGCUCCAUUCUCAACUGGAGAGGGAAAAACAAAAGAAAGAAAGCCUGGAGACAGAAGUUGAAUCACACCGUUGCAGACUGGCUGCUGUUAGACGUGAUUGUGAACAAAGUGAGACAUCCAAAAGAGACGUGGAACUUGCUUUCCAGGGAGCAAAAGAUGAAUGGUUUCAUUUACCGGAGAAAAUGAAUUUUGAUGACCUAAAAGCUAACAGUGUCCUUCGUUCUCAGCAACUGUCUAGAACUCAAAGUAACUUGGAAAGCCUAAGCCUUAAGUUCCAACACACAAGAGAUGCUCUUACAGAAAAGCAGAAAAGAGGUUUGUUUCAGAAUGCAUGGGAAGAGACCUACGCCAAACCCAGUGUCAAAUCCAGGAAAUUCAACAAAUGUAUCAAAAUAAACAAUGUAACUGAAGGAAUUCAUUGGAAAGCAGGAAUCUGUAGAGGCGAGGCUGUCUCAACUGCAGAGUGAAAAUAUGUUGCUUCCACAGCAACUGGAUGAUGCUUACAACAAAGCUGACAAUCAAGAAAAGACAAUAAUUACUAUCCAAGACCAAUCUCGUGCUACUGUGAAAAAUCUUCAAGCUGAGAAAGAAAAGCUAGAAGAGAAAAAUCAGACAUUAAUCAACGAAUGCAAUCAUUUUUUUAAAAGGCUUCAACAACAGGGAAAUGAGAAAGCAGAAAGAGAAAUGAGACACUCUAGUUGCAGGAAAAGAAGCUCAGGGCUCCCACUGAUUCAACUUUAUGAAUUCCAUGAAAAGCCAUGCAUGGUCGCUGUCUACCCUGGAAAUGUGACAGGAACCUUCCAGUUCAAUCAUGUGAUUUCACUCAUGAACAUAGAAGAGCAAACUGAGGCUUUCUUGGACAGCAUUGCAGCCAGGAGCUUAAAAGAUGCCGCAGGAGUUUCAAGACAGUAUAGCUAGAGAGCUACUAAAAGCUUCAGAGAAAUCUCAAGAAGUCUGUGUAUCCUUUUUCCUCUGGCUCUACACUUUCUUCACUUCUACCGUCCCUAUGGACCUGCCAGCCAGCACACUGAAACUGUUCUCAGAAAACAAAGGCAUCAUCGACUUCCCAGGUUUAUGGUGGUGAUUUAAGGCCAAGAGACAGACUCCAGGCUCAUCUAGUAACACUCAGGCUACUCCAGUUCAAAGGCAGCCACGUGACAGGUUGUAGCAUGCAAUGUUGAGGGGUGGACUGUAUCAUCUUCGUCAUGUAAUUUCGGUGCUUGUCCUAGUUCCUGAACAUAUGGUUGUUGAAUAAAUGAAUGAAAAAUGAGAAAACCAGGAGCUCUGAUACUUAACCACAAUGAUGCUGCUGAAUUUGAAUUGGGAUCGUAUGUAGUUCCUCAUCUAGGAACUAGUGAUGAGUCAAAUAUAAAUUAAGAUAUAGUUUGGAAAUAUUAAGAAAUAUGUAUUGAUUUUAACCAGAAAUAUAUGAUCUGAAAGACAGUAGAAUGUAAUUAUUGGUCUGUUUACCUGACAUUUUGCUUCCCAUUAUGUAUAUGACGUGAAAAUCUUUAUUAAAGGAAAGUAUUUUUGUA